GUGCGGCAUGCCGCCCCCUGCUGGUAGGAGGACCCACGCGGGCCUUCGCCUUUUUGCCGCAAAUCCUUAAUGCUCCUGGCUGAGGAUGAUCCCACUGCGACGGACGGUAAGCAGUAAUAGGGACGAUUACCUGUAGGAGGCUUUCAUUUUUGUGGGCUAAGAAAUUGUUUCAUAAUGUGUGUUACUUUUGUAAGCAGGAAAAAAGUUUAAAAACUAAAUAGAAAGAAUUUGCCCUGGAGCUCUUUGCCCCCUCCGGGACUCUGCCUCCUGAACUACUCUCAUCCUGGUCUGCAACAGAGUCCUCCCAGGAAGCCUUGCCGUAGCGCUCCAAGCCUGGGUUAGGGGCCCUUCUUCGGCCUUCCUACAACGCCUUCCUACCUGCUUCGGUCCGCCCUGAACUGUAAACCUUUGAAUAUCCAGCACCUAGCGCGGUGCUGACAUUCUGUAAAAUGUACUUUCAGCAUAUAGGGAGGACCUGAGAUACACAUCUGAAAACCCAUCAAGUUUUUGGGAGAAACAACAUAAAUUAUUGUGGCUGAUUCUCCCCUUGGUACGUGACAGUAAAGCCAACUUCUGGCUUCUCCCUGUCUCCUGGGUCAACUUCUUCAAAGGAAUAUUGCAAAUAAAAAAGAAUCUGCAAUCUGUGUAGGGCUCCAUUUGAAUGGCUAAUCUCUGCUCUGUCUGGAUCAGCUAAAGCAGCUGAACUGGGGCCACAUUUAAGAUGGCUCAUUCACAUGGCUGGUGAGUUGAAGCUUGCUGUUGUGCAGGAGCUUGUGGCCUCCCUCUGUGAUAUCUUGUGCUUCUUCUCUGCAGAAUGGUGGUGAGGUUCUAAGACCAAGUGUUUCAGGUGAGUAAGGUAGUCAUGCAUUAUGGCACCUGUGAUUUCUACAGCACUCUACUGGUCACGGCAGUCACAAAGGCUCACCCACAGGGAGGGGAGACAUGGAUUUCACCUCUGAAUGGGAGGGUGGCAUGUUUCUAGAAGCACAUGAAUGAGAGAUGUUGUUGAAGGCACCUUUUAAAAAUACAAUCUGCUAUACUGAUUUAAACCAAUCCUUGAGAAACUGUACAAUAAUUAUAACAACAAAUACAGUGGUAUGUAUGAAACUGUGCUACAUAAUAAUUGAACUUUUCCUGGAUCAUGUUAAAAAGGUAUGCCUAGAGGCUCUCAGAAAAAAAAACAAUCCGUUUCUCUCUGGACCUUACCUCUGGCACUGCCUCCUGCACCUCUUCUCCAGCUUCCAUAACUGCUUUUCAAAAGGGAUUUUAACCAGGACUUAUUUUGCUUUUUUCCCCUCUAUCAUAAAACAAUUAUAUUUUUAAAAUACCAGUAUGAAAGCCAAUAAAUGCAUUCUGACCACA